GCAGCAGGCCGGUCUGUCGCUGGCCCUUCGGGGUCGGAGGAAAGUCCGGGCAACACAGGGCGCCAUCCUUCCUAACGGGAAGUUGUUCGUGAGGGCAAAGUUAGCGUAACAGAAAAGAACCGCCCGGCUUCGGCCGGGUAAGGGUGAAAAGGCGAGGUAAGAGCUUCACCGCUCUUGUAGUAAUACAAGGGGUCAGUACGCCUGAUGGGUUGUAAGGUCAUGUACACCGGCGCAGUAGGACGGCUCGUCCGAUGCCGGGGGGUGGACCGCACGAACUUGUUGGUGACAGCAAGUCAAGAUAAAUGACAGACGCUUUUCCGCUUCACGGUGGAGAGGUACAGAACCCGGCUUACAGGCCGGCUGCAUUC
rnacentral:RNase_P_RNA from 1 species